AGCUUUGUGCAGUGGCAGUAUCGUAGCCAAUGAGGUUUAUCUCAGGCAUGACUAUUGCUAAUUGAAAACUUUUCCCAUUACAUUCUACUAUAAAAUCCACUAUUGGAAUGAAACUUAGCUUUCUAG
ensembl:snRNA U4 U4 spliceosomal RNA